rnacentral:rRNA from 1 species
GAGAAAUUGGUACUAAUUCCCCACUAAUAUUCGGAGAGGCAUCUCUCCGGGUUGAAAACUCCGGUGGUUAUAGAUGGACAUGCGUUGUAUUAGCUAGUUGGUGAGGUAACGGCUCACCAAGGCAACGAUACAUAGGGGGACUGAGAGGUUAACCCCCCCACCACUGGUACUGAGACACGGACCAGACUCCUACGGGAGGCAGCAUG